UUUUCUAAUAUGAUUUUUCUUAUAUCUACUACUUUUAUAUCUUUAAGUGCAUACAAAAUAAGUAUUUUAAAUUUAUCUACCAUCACAUCAGAUAAAUAAUUAUUCAUUUUCAUAAAAUUGCUUUUUUCAAAAUAUUCCCUUCAACCAUGUACAUAACAAAAUAUGGUCAUCUUAGAUUACUAUAUACUAGAUUAUUCUUAAAUAAUAGGUUCUUCGGUUACUAUUAACAUGGUAAUUCGGAUAUUUUUUCCCUUAAACAACGUCUCUACUCUGGUUACUCCCCGCCACGGCUUCUUGCCUCAUUGGUUUCACCUUUAGGAUGGCAUAGUUCUUAGGGA
rnacentral:lncRNA from 1 species